rnacentral:lncRNA from 1 species
AGUUAUUAUGGGCUGAAUUGUGUCCUCCCAAAAUUCAUGUUGAAUUGAAUGUGGUUAGAGUUGAAGCCCUAACCCCCAGCACCUCAGAAAGUGACUGUAUUUAGAGACAGGCACUUUAAAGAGGCGAUUAAGAUAAAAUGAGGUCAUUGGGGUGGGCCCUAAUCCUACAUAACUGGUGUCCCAAUAAGAAGAGGAGAUUAGGACGCAGACACACAGAGGGAGGACCAUGUGAGGACACAGGGAGAAGAUGGUCGUUUACAAGCCAAGGAGAGAGGCCUGAGAAGAAACCAAACUUGCUGACACCUUGAUCUUGGACUUCUAGCUUGCAGAACUAUGAGAAAAUAAAUUUCUGUUGUUUGAGUCACUUAGUCUUUUGUUCUGGCAGCCUGAACAAACUGACACAGCAGUGUUCUGGGCACUGGGGUUUCAGCAUUGAGCAAGACAGGUAAGUCCCUGCUCUUAUGGAUUACAGCAGGAUGAAAUAAAUAAGACAUAUAUAUAGAUUUAUUUUAUAAUAUAUCUUACAAUGUUUAUGUCUUAUUAUAAUGCUUUAUUUAUAAUAAAAAAUAAGAUAAUAAUAGCAGUAAUGGUAAUUGCUAUAAAGAAAGUAAAUAGGGGAUCUAACAGAGAGAUGAGGCCCACUAGGAGAGCAGGGCGGUUGGAGCGGGUCUCCCUGAGGAGGUGAGACCUGAAGACAGGAAAAGCUGGCCAUGUGAAGUUUGGAGACUGAUGGAAAGUAGGAUGGUGGUUGUCUGGGGCUGGGGGAGGGGGAACAGGGAGUUACUGUUUAAUGGGGACAGAGUUUCAGUUUGGGAAGAUGAAAAUUUCUGGAGAUGGAUGGUGGUGUUGGUUGUACAGAAAUGUGAAUGUACUUAAUGCCACAGUGCACUUAAAUAUGGUUAUGUGUACACUUUAAAAUGUGCAGUUAAAAAUGGUUAAAAUGGUAAAAUUCAUGUUAUAUGUAUUUUGCCACAAUAAAGACAAAGGAAGGGAGAUAGUAAUAGUGUCUGCCUCAUAGGUUCACUGUGCACACACGUGUAAGGAACAGGGAGCAGUGCCCAGCAGUGGCAGGGGCUCAGCGAACGUCCGUCAUUAUCUUCUGAACACGUUCGCCUCAACGAGAGGCAAGCUCACUUUAUGGGCAACUGUCUUGAACAGUCCACCGUCCGGGCAUGUCCUCCAUGGGACCCCCAUACGGCCCUCCAGUUUACCAUAUUUACUUCUGAAGUGUCUCAUUCUUCUUAGGAAAAUGGGCAGAAUUGGUUAACUUGAUCUUAGCAGUUUUAACCCUAGUUAUAAAUUAAUCAGUUUGUUGACAGAACUUGAGGCAGGACACAGCUGACAAUACUUAGAAGUGCCUCAGCCACUUGUUUACUGUGUGGUCCAAGAACAGCUGGGUCAUCUACGUCUCCCGUCAGGGAGCGCAUUCCAGCCGGCCCGGAAAGGGAGGAGGUGCUCGGGCUGCGCCUGGGACGACGUGCGUUCAACUGCAGCCUUGGUGCCAGCAGCAAGGCAUGCUGGGUCUCUGUGGCGCCCCUCCUCUGGGCUCUCAGAUCCUUGUGUAACGAUCCCAGUGGUAUUAUUUAUCAUAUGUUGUAAGUGUCUGCAUCAUCCUAGACAGUGAAGCACUCGUCUUUGAACACCCGGGCCUGUUUCAGUGUCUGGCAAUUGGUAGCUGACCAGUGAAUGCUGUAGCACGUGAGUUCAUUGCUAUAGCGCUGUUGCCUUCCCCCAUCCUUGCCAAACAAAUGCUAUUUUUGAAGCAUCUACUCUGUGCGUGGGAAUUAUUGCCCCAGGGCUUUACAGACUGAGCAGGCAGAAUAAUGACCCCUCAAAGAUCUCCACGUCCUUGUCCCUGGAACCUGUGAAUAUGUUUGUUACCUCACGUGGUAAAAGGGACUUUGCAGAUCUGAUCAAGUUAAGGAUCUUGAAAAGGGGAGAUUCUCCUGGAUUAUUCAGAUGGGCCAAAUGUCAUGACAAGGUCCUCCUAAGGGAAGGAGGGAGCAUUAGAGUCAGAGAAGAAGAUGUGAUGAUGGAAGCAGAAGACCAAGUGGUGUGGGGCCACGAGCCAAGGAAUGCAGGCAGCAUCUAGAAGGUAAGGAAACUGAUUCUCUUCUAGAGCCUUCAGAACGAACACAGCCCUGUGGACUCAUUUUAGACUUUCGAACUCCAGAACUGUAAGGUAAUAAAUUGGUGGUGUUUUAAGCCACUGGAUUUGUGGUACUUUGUUACAGCAACACUGGGAGACUAACACGCAUGCGUUCUCUCAUUGAAAUCUCAUGACAUCCCUGAAAGGUGGGUGUUGUUAUCCUACUGUGGAGGAGGAAAGGGGGACUCAGUUAGGUAAGGACUCAGUUGUGAAAGGUAGCAAGUAAUGGAGCCUGGAUUUGAAGGAAGAGCUGGCUGAAUCCAAGCCGUGGGCUUUGAGUCCGACCUCCACCCAAGACUCCCUCCUCUAAAAGGAAACCGAAGUUCAACAGUGAAGGCUUGGCUGCCAUGGUACCAUGGCAAGAGAUAAUCUCUGGUAAGGACUUAAGCUCCUUGGAAGGAGAAAGAGGCCCUAAAACAAUGAAACAUAUUGGCUUGAAAUGUCCAAGGUUUUACUACUACUGCUUUUCUCCUUUUUUUCCCCUAAUGAACAACACUCCUGAAUAUUUUUGCUUAUUUAAGCAAAUCCCCGUUUCAGUGUCCUUUGGUUGAUGGACAUUCAUAAGUUGGGUAUUAUUCAUCACAAGUUUCAUGAAUAAAUGAGAAAAACGUCCUGGUUACAAUUACAGUCCAGGACCUGGAACUGUGCUGAGCUCAAAGUUGGUGUUAGUAGGUCAUUGACUCAUUCAAUUUUAGGUUCAGAAAGGACUUCAGAGGCCAUCCUACUCAGCCUUGUGUUUCAGAGCUUGAAGUGCUUAAGUGUUUUGCUCAGAUACAUGUAGCUACUUGGUGGUGGAGACCCAAGUGGCCUCAAAUGAAUGAGCAAUUACUUGUUAGGAUAAUAAUGAGUUCACAUGUAUUGAAGCUCACCACGUGCCAGACACCAUUCCUAGCUCAUUCCCAGUGUUAAUGCGUUUAAUAAUACAUGAGCCCCUAGUUUGACAGGUGAGGACACUGAGGCAAGGCUACACAGCCACCAAGGGGCAGAGCCAGGAGUCAAACACGUGCAUGCUGAUUCCAGAGCUUGUGCCAUUACCCAGCAUGCUAGGAGACCUGACUGACGUGCCUGAGAGCAGCACAUGGCCCAGGAGGGCUGUUCAUGAGCAUGACUUUCACUGUGUCAUCAUGCUGGAACCUGAGUGGCCACUGCGGGCUGGGCGAGUUUGGCUAGUUUUGGCCUCUGUAGACUUUUUGGAUUAGACUCUUAACAGAUCAGUCUGGUCUCUCAAAGGGAAAGGAUUGCCUUCAUUAUUGGCGUUUCAUUAAAAGAAGCUCCUGCUGCUUUUACUGCAGCUUUUAAGAGAGGGACAUUCAACAGAGGAUAUUCUUACUUGCAGGAGUCAGGUAAGACAUUGACCAGUGCUGUUCAGGAAAAUGGAACCGAUCCUUAUUUUGGAAGCUCUCGGCUGCCCAGCUAUGCUUAGGAAAUGAAUCAGACUCUGUGGGUACCAUGCUCAAGGACAUGCAGUGAAUUAGUGGUGAAGUCAGGACUGGAACUCAGGUCUUCUGACUCCAGACGAGGGCUCUUUUCCAACGGUAUGCUGUCUGCGCUGCCUCCUCAGAUGGUCUCCUGAUGGUGUCCGCCUCUGGGGCUUAUUAUUGGCUGCAUGAUGACCCUGGAGGGAGCACAUCAGUGCAGGCUCAGCAAGGUGGGGAUGAACAAGGGCAGGGUGGGACGCUUGGUGGUCCUGCAGUGGUGAAGUGCAGGCAAACGGCUAUUGAUCUCGUUAGUUCUCUUUCAGAGAGAAGAUCGGAAAAUAGUCUUCAUUUCACUGGUUUGGAACCCAUGCUAAGUCUUGAAAACAAACCCAUCACCCCUGGUUUUUCUCACAGGCAUCUCGGCAUUGGCCAUCUCCAGCAAAUGUGGUCUGGACUCACCUCUCCACUUGGAUCAGCUGCGUUGUGCUGGCUGGGCUGCCGCCUGCAGCCCCUGAGUCAAUGCUCCAUAGCGGACUGGUUGUACUACACUCACUGCAAGGUGGGGUCCAAACUUUUCCCUGCUGCCAUGAGCCCAGGGCUCAGGUGAACCUCAGAUGCUAUGCCCUCUGACCUACCACCUGGCCCUCCUACCUGCCAUGAUGGCCCCAUCGUUCCACUGGUGUUCUGACCCCACGUUCUGUUUGGCACGUCAGGUCUGCUCUGGACCUGACAUCCUGCUGAGCUCUUGGGGCAUUCUCCCUGAACAGGAGCCUCCUGCCCAGCUGAGCAGCUGGGAUUGCAGCUCCACUGUCCACCUGCCCUUCAGCACAUCUGCCGCCUGGAGCCUCCCCUGGCAGGGCCUUCCCCACCUUCGCAAGUAUCGACAUCAUUGGCCACCAGCCUCCAUCAGUUCCUGGUGGCUUACCACAGCCCUUGUCAUGUUCUAGGUUGCCCUGUUUUUCACCCACACCUGAGGCUAGCCCUAUGCUGGCUAUUUCUGUCAGCCCUGGCUGGGUCUAGCCUUCUCAUCCGUUUCGCUAUCAUCCCAUGUUUCUGAGGCCCCAGCUGUCCCUGGGAGCCCUGGCGCCGAGCCUACUUGAGUUAUGUGGACUUCACCUUGUGGCAAGUUUCUUCCUUCCUCCCUCCUUUCUAUAAACCUUUCUUGGGAACCUCAAAGGUGCCAGAUACUAUGAUGCACUGUGAUAGGCAUUAGGGAGAAAAGAAUGAAAGAAGCAUGACUGCUGAUACUCCAAAGAAACUUGGGAUUACGUUAGGAACAGCAUUUAGGUCUGAACAUGUCUGGACUGGACAAGAGCUCUAAACUGAGGUUGAGGGAAGGAUGAUUAACCUGGGAAAACCUCAGAUCCACAGACAACUCAUCGGUGGCUGUUUUAGCUCAGGUGUAAAUAUCUUAGGAGAAUGUAUCGUUAUUUAAUAAUUCAGAUAGUCUAUAUGCCUCUUGCACACGGAAUUAUCUUCUUAAAUUUCUCUUUGAUCACGCUACUUUCUUAGCAUAAAAAUCACCAAUGACUGUUCCUUGCCUACAGGAUGGUUUAAACUUCUUGGCCUGACAUUCAAAGCCCUUCCCAGACAGGUCCACUUAUAUUUCUGGCUGCAUCUCCCAGUAUUGACCUGUUAGAACCUUCUUCUCCAACUAUUCUGGUUGAUUGGCUGACAGUCAGACUGACGUUCCAUUCCCGCCACCCCGCGCAGCUUCCCCCCCUCCUCCAAUACCCCUAUCCCGUGUUGCCCACACUCCCCUCUACCUCAAGGCUUAGCCCUCCAAAAGCCUCCCAGCCUCCACCUCUCCUUCUCUUAUGUCAGUGGUUCUCACCUCUGAUUACAUACUAGAAUCACCUAGGGAGCUUUAAAAAAUGAGAUGGAGUGGGGAAGGGAGCACCAGACCGAUUUUAUCAAACUUUCCAGAGUCUUUAAAAAAAAAAAAUCCUCCCAGGUCAUUGUAACAUGUAGCCGGGGUUGAGAGCAACUGUUGUGAACAAAUAUGUAUUGCUUCCACCCCUUUGGCUGUAUUGUUAUUUAAGACUCACGCAAGGGAAACAUUAACUUCCGUAUUAAAGUAUUCCCUUAAAGCACAAGAUAUGCCCUUCCUUUCUUUUUGUUCUGUGUAGAGUGUACCACAGCAUCUUUUACGUGAAAGCACAGCAAGCAUCUGCUGGAGGAAUUGAAAUGACCCAGUGAGGUGGGUCAGUCAUUGUCUUGUCGAUCUCAAAGGGUGAGAAACCCAGCCAGCGGUUAUAAUAUAGUGAUGUGCUCCUGUGAAUGGAAUUCUUCUCUUGCAACGCAUUUUCGGAGCCCCUACUCUGUGUAGGCCACUCUGCUCAGGCCCAGCAUGCCUUGGGCAGAUAUGUGCAAGACUAAGGUCAGAGUGAGUAGCCCGCUGUAGGAAGUAAGCAACUAAUCAUAACAUGAUGUGUACUGCAUCCAAGCUAAGGGUCCAGUGUCACUGAUGCUUAGAGGAGGAAGCCACAGUCUAACCAGGAAGUUUGGGACUACUUCUCACAGGAAGUAGCAAUCUACCCAGAAAGAUAUAGAAAGUUGAACAGCUUACCAAUGUUUUGGUUAGAAAUGUGUUCAGCUGCAACUAACAGAAUGCUUUGCUAACAGUGAUUUAAAAAAUAAUAGUAAAUAAAUAUUAUAGAUACACAUAAUAUAUGUAUUAUAUAUUUAUUAUAAUAAGUCCAGGGUUAGGCACUCAAAAUGACACAUUAGCUCAACAAUGUGGCUGAAGUUUCUGGAAUUCUCUUGUCCUUUGAGUUAUGGUCAUAGGUUGGCUGCAGCAGCUUCAGUCAUUGUGUCCACAUUCAAAGGAGAACGAUGAGGAGGAGGACAGUGCCAGCCAUGUUUUCCCCUUUUAUCAGGAAAGCAAAAACUUUCCCAGAAACCUUCCUGUGGAUUUCUCCUCACAUCUCAUUGGCCAGAACUGUGUCACGUGGUUACCCUUAGCAGCAAUGGAGGCUGGGAGAGAGAGGAUUUGACUUUUCCAGUCUCUAUAUAGGAAGGUAGGGAGGAGAAGAGGGUUGAGAGUGGCUCCUAAGUGAGCCAACUAACAGACGAAACAUUUACCAGAAAAUUCUCCCUUCAUUUGCAAAAAACAGGGAGCUGUGAAAGUGUAUGGAAUAUUUAGGAUCAAAUAAUUUAGUAUCACCAAAGUAGAGGACGUGUGGCAAGUGAGUGAGGGCAGACAAGAUGGAGAGAAGUUGAGAUGAGAUUCUUUAGGUUCUUGAAUGACGUGUUAAAGAGCUUGGGAUUUUUCUAUAGGGCCUGGGUAACUAAUGGAGAUUUUUAAUAAGAGGAAUGAUGAAAUCAGUUUAUUGGGGGAAAAGUGGCAGUAUGGAGGAUGGACCAAGAAAGAAAAAGAUGGCAGACUAUUUAUAGCAAUCCAGGCAAGAUUUGAUGAGGGCCUGCACUCAGAUUUCCUUCAGCAUAUUGCUGGGGGAAGAGUUGGGCAGGAUGGCCAAGAGGCCAGGAUCUGAUGAAAGCAGCUACCCAAAUUUCAUCUUUGGGUAAAAUAUGGCUUACCACCAAUAACGCUUUGUAAAAGUCUCUUGCGUGUGUUUCUUGGGAGGAAGAGAUAGGAGGUCAUGACAUGCUCAACACCAUCUGCUAGAGGCUGUAUUAGGUUCCUAGGGCUGCUGUCACAAAGUGCCACAAGCCAGAUGGCUUAAAACAACAGAAAUUUAUUCUCUCAUGGUUCUGGAAGGUAGAAGUCCAAAAUCCAGGUGUCAGCAGUAUUGGUUCCUUCUGGAGGUUAUGAGAGAGAAUCUCAGGGAGAAUUUCCAUGCCUCUCUCCUAGCCUCUGGUGGCUCCUGACACUCCUUGGUGUCCCUUGACUUGUAGGUACGUCACUCCAAUCUCUGCCUCCAUUUUCACAUGGCUUCUCCCCGGGUGCGUCUGUGUGCUCAAGUUUCCUUUGUCUUAUAGGGCCCACCCUAAUACAACUGACCUCAUCUUAGCUUGAUCACAUCUGCAAAGACCCUAAUUCCAAACAAGGUCACACUGACAGGUACCAGAGGUUAGGACUUGAACUUAUCUUUUUAGGGAACACAAUUCAACCCACCACAGGUAUAUUAGGCCUGCUCUAGUUGAAACUGUCAGACAACCUUUGACUUAAGGGGAAAAAAAAGGAGUUUAUCUACUUGCAUAAUUUGAAGCACAAGGGAGUGGCUCUCCUGUCCUCAGCGUUGCUUCAUGCUCAGGAAGGAACUCUCCAUGGCAUGGCUAAGUUACCCUCCGCCUGCCCUGAUUACAUCCAGGUUUACGAGGGUAACCUCAGAAAAAGCUCUACCCCCAGGUCCAUGGCGACCCCUCCACAGGAGUCGUGGGUCACAGGCCCAUCCUUUGAGGCCUAGAGGCAACUCGCCCAAAUCAUAACUGAAGAGGAUUAUUAUGGAAUGUGGGGGAUGAUUCCCCAAGUGCUGCCAGGCAAUGUUCUUUCUCUGCCUUUACCCAAAUGAGGGCAAGGAGAGAAGGCCCCAGCUGGAAAUACCAGCUUCUUCCUGGCAAUCUUGAUGUUGUGGGCAACUUCCACAAUGGACAGGCAUUGCAGCUGUUGACUUACUGUUCAUGUGGUUUUGAUGGACGUAUAUCUGUUAACCCCUACUUUAUUCUGUUCAGAAAUCUGGCAUUUGCCCCUCUGUCCUCACCGGUCCACAGGAGAUAAGAGUCAGUGAGCAAGGUUGCCCAAGUGAAUAAGCUGGGCUCAGCACCUAGAAUUUCUCUACUGUUCUGAGCCUCUGGGACCAUAAGGCUGAGGAUGGCUGGCCAUUGGGCGUUGCUCCUUUGGGACUCUGUCACACAUCAGCUUCUCCCUUUACAAGCCUUAGGAUGCAAGGAGUCUCCUGUUUGCCUAGUGCUCCAAAAUGGCCUGCUCCUCCCUCUCCCAGCACAGGCAAGCAAGAAGCUAAAACCAUUUUGAGGUCCAUACCAGGGUUGUGACUCCAUAAAUAUCCACUGCUGUCACUCUUAGCAUCUGAGCUGGAAAACUGCCCCACUUCCCUCCAGCCAGCUUCCCUUUUAUGUUGCUCAUCCUCAGAGAUCGCUGACGUAGGCCAGGGGAAAAACCUCAGGGACAGCUAAUCCAGGCCCCUCCCUGUACGGAUGGUGAGACCUUCAUUUUUGCCCUCAUUCCUCCAUGGGGUGAGGUUGGAGGAGGAGGGAACACAAUGCUGUGUCUUGGCCAGCAGGGGCCUCCUGGCCUGGGCUGGCUUGCGGCUCUGCUAGACGUCUUUCUUCCCUUUGUCACAGGUGACCAGGGCCCCUGGCUUGGCACUGGGAUUUCCACUCAUGUUGUCCUCUUUAGGAACUCCUACAGGGUGAAACAAAAUAUUACUAUUCUCACAACAACAACAUAAUAACAACCAUCCCCAUGUGCCAGGCCCUGUAUCAGGAGUCCUUUCCAAUGAGCAUCUCAUUUCUUCCUCCCUCCUAAAAAGUAGGCAUCUUCCCCACUAGUCGGAUGACCACACUGAAGUUCAGAGAGGUUGAGUCAUUUGUCCACGUUCACAAACCUCGUAUGUGAUUGGACUGUCAGACUUGAACUCCGAGUGGGGCAGCCUCAGGCUGUGGGAGGCAGCGGGCGAGAAGACAGUAUUGCUUUCGUUCCUUUUCCUCUUCUCCUUGGCACCACCUGCUCUUCUCCUCCAGUUCCGGGCCGUCCCUUAUAUCCAUUUUUAUAAGUCAGAAAAAAAAACCCCUUUAUUUUUGUAUAUGUUCACUCUUAUUUUUUUAUUUUCUAAAUAAUUAAUUUUUAUCUUAGCCUCACUAAUUUCUUCCUUUUGAUUUCCUUAAGUUUAUUUUUCAUAUGUAAAUGUUCGCAGUAUUAUUUUCCAGACAAUCUAUCAUUUCAGUCUUGAGUUUCUCUUUGACCCAAGAGUUAGAGAGAGGGUUCUAACAUUUCCAAGUGGU